UGAGGGAGAGCAGUGAUAUUGAGCAGUCAGCUAAAGAAACAAAGCUGUAGAGGCAAGACUCCUUUUGUACUGGCUUGUGUAGGCAAAAGAAAGCAGUAUAGAGAUUUAUUCUCCCACUGGCAUGAAAGCUGUGAUUCUGACCACCUUCUACAUCACUGUCUACCACCCCUACACCAGCUCUUAGAAGACAGAGUAACUACAGGAUGCUGUGGUACCUGGAGUGAUGCCAGACUGCAGAGGCCACCUGGUGACAUGAGGAGAGAUUCAACUUAACAUGGUGAGGAUGGCAGAGUAGAGCUAAAGUGGAAAAAGCAUUUCCCUGAUGAAUUUAAGAAGCUACUGAAUAAAUAUGUCUGGAAGUACCUAACUCUGGACUAAGUGGCUUUAUUUGGUUAAAUUGAGAUUCUACUUCUUGUAGCCAGA
rnacentral:lncRNA from 10 species